CUUAAUCUCUCUGUGUUGUAGAUAGUGGAGGUAUGCCUGAUAGGUCGGUGACACUGACUGGUUCCCAGACUCCAUACAAGCUGCCAAGAGGCUGUUGUCGGAGAUCGUUGAUAAGGGUCGUCCUGCUCCAGCCUUCCAUCACAACGACGCCGGCGGCCCCGGUAUGUCUGUUCAGGAGAUGCUGGUCCCUGCCUCCAAGGCUGGCCUGGUCAUCGGGAAGGGAGGAGAGACCAUCAAACAGCUGCAGGAGAGAGCCGGGGUCAAGAUGGUGAUGAUCCAGGAAGGGCCUCAGAACACGGGAGCAGACAAACCUCUACGCAUCUCUGGGGAACCUUUUAAAGUCCAG